rnacentral:tRNA from 1 species
CAUUAGAUGGCUGAAUUUAAAGUAUUGGUCUCUUAAAUCAAAUUAUAGUGUUUAUACACUUCUAAUGA